rnacentral:rRNA from 1 species
CCUUGGAUGGGGAAGUAACAGCUGGAAACAGCUGCUAAUACCGCAUGAUGCAGUUGAGUCGCAUGGCUCUGACUGCCAAAGACUUAUCGCUCUGAGAUGGACUCGCGUCUGAUUAGCUAGUUGGUGGGGCAACGGCCCACCAAGGCGACGAUCAGUAGCCGGACUGAGAGGUUGGCCGGCCACAUUGGGACUGAGACACGGCCCAGACUCCUACGGGAGGCAGCAG